rnacentral:tRNA from 1 species
GUGGUUGUGUCUCAGUGGUAGAGCACUUGCCUAACAUGUGCAAGGCCCUGGAUUCGAUCCUCAGCACCACA